CUUCACCGACCCCAGCCGCAGCGGAUCAUCCGCCGUACGCUCACGGCCGUACGUGGCCAGCAGCGCCUGCGCCUC
rnacentral:antisense_RNA from 1 species